UACAGAGGUCUCAAGCGUUGUUCGGAUUCAUUGGGCGUAAAGGGUGCGUAGGCGGCGAAGCAAGUCAGGUGUGAAAUCCCGGAGCUUAACUCCGGAACUGCACUUGAUACUGCUUUGCUCGAGGACUGGAGAGGAGAUCGGAAUUCACGGGUGUAGCAGUGAAAUGCGUAGAUAUCGUGAGGAAGACCAGUGGCGAAGGCGGGUCUCUGGACAGUUCCUGACACUGAGGCACGAAGGCCAGGGAGCAAACGGG
rnacentral:rRNA from 1 species